UGAGGAAUAUUGGGCAAUGCCCGCAAGGGUGACCCAGCAACGCCGCGUGGAGGAUGAAUGUCGUAAGAUUGUAAACUCCUGUUAGAGGGGAAGAAUAGUACCGGUUGGACCGGUAUAUGACUGUACCCUCAGAGAAAGCCCCGGCUAACUACGUGCCAGCAGCCGCGGUAAUACGUAGGGGGCAAGCGUUGUCCGGCUUUACUGGGUGUAAAGGGUGCUCAGGCGGAUUUGUAAGUCAGAGGUGAAAUCUCACAGCUUAACUGUGAAACUGCCUUUGAUACUGAAAGCCUAGAGUAUGGAAGAGAGUGAUGGAAUAUCUGGUGUAGCAGUGAAAUGCGUAGAUAUCAGAUAGAACACCCAUGGCGAAGGCAGUCACUUGGUCCAUUACUGACGCUAAAGCACGAAAGCGUGGGUA
rnacentral:rRNA from 1 species